rnacentral:rRNA from 1 species
AUUGAACGCUGGCGGCAUGCCUUACACAUGCAAGUCGAACGGUAACAGGUCUUCGGAUGCUGACGAGUGGCGAACGGGUGAGUAAUACAUCGGAACGUGCCCGAGAGUGGGGGAUAACGAAGCGAAAGCUUUGCUAAUACCGCAUACGAUCUCAGGAUGAAAGCAGGGGACCGCAAGGCCUUGCGCUCACGGAGCGGCCGAUGGCAGAUUAGGUAGUUGGUGGGAUAAAAGCUUACCAAGCCGACGAUCUGUAGCUGGUCUGAGAGGACGACCAGCCACACUGGGACUGAGACACGGCCCAGACUCCUACGGGAGGCAGCAGUGGGGAAUUUUGGACAAUGGGCGAAAGCCUGAUCCAGCCAUGCCGCGUGCAGGAUGAAGGCCUUCGGGUUGUAAACUGCUUUUGUACGGAACGAAAAGACUCUGGUUAAUACCUGGAGUCCAUGACGGUACCGUAAGAAUAAGCACCGGCUAACUACGUGCCAGCAGCCGCCGUAACAC